CCCCCCCCCCCCCCCCCCCCCCCCCCCCCCCCCCCCCCCCCCCCCCCCCCCCCCCCCCCCGCAGCGAUAAAGCACUGCUGGGAGCCAGGGCAGGUAUCCGUGUUGGCAUAGCUGUGAGAAGGGGAAGAGCUGGGAUGAGCUUUCCAGAUUUCCUGCUGCACUGUGAGGGUUUAACACCUUCAACAAAAU
rnacentral:lncRNA from 12 species